rnacentral:rRNA from 1 species
AUUGAACGCUGGCGGCAGGCCUAACACAUGCAAGUCGAGCGGAUGAAGGGAGCUUGCUCCUGGAUUCAGCGGCGGACGGGUGAGUAAUGCCUAGGAAUCUGCCUGGUAGUGGGGGAUAACGUCCGGAAACGGGCGCUAAUACCGCAUCCGUCCUGAGGGAGAAAGUGGGGGAUCUUCGGACCUCACGCUAUCAGAUGAGCCGAGGUCGGAUUAGCUAGUUGGUGGGGUAAAGGCCUACCAAGGCGACGAUCCGUAACUGGUCUGAGAGGAUGAUCAGUCACACUGGAACUGGGACACGGUCCAGACUCCUACGGGAGGCAGCAGUGGGGAAUAUUGGACAAUGGGCGAAAGCCUGAUCCAGCCAUGCCGCGUGUGUGAAGAAGGUCUUCGGAUUGUAAAGCACUUUAAGUUGGGAGGAAGGGCAGUAAGUUAAUACCUUGCUGUUUUGACGUUACCAACAGAAUAAGCACCGGCUAACUUCGUG